rnacentral:lncRNA from 1 species
CCGGGCGUGUGCCAGGAUCAUGGCCGUGAGUGUCUCUGCUGUGGGCAGCUUUGGCUCACACUGAGCUUUCAUGACCUUGCUCUGAGCAGAGACACUGGCGAGGCCAAGGGCUCCGUCCUCAUCCUGCUGAGAGAUCAUUUUAUCUCCUCCGCCGCCUUCUCAGCCAUUUGAUCCCAUACCACCGCUUCACUCCUGGGAAAGGAUCUACCAUAUUUUGAAGAUCCAAUGUUUUGGAUUGCCAUAUGGAGAGAGAUGAGGAACUCUAUGUCCUGAAGUUGACAGGUACUUCCGAGUCUUUCCUUUGCUAGAUUAUGGGCUGACAUAAAAGAACCCAGGUUGUCAAAGAUCUUGGAAGUUGACUUCUUAUCAGCAUCUCCUGUGAGAUUUGAAUAAAAGAAUAAUCGGGACCUCAACAAGAGAGAUUGUGAAGUAACUGGUCCAGGUGGACUGUGGUGUACAUGAGCUUUUCAGCCAGAUCACUAAGAUCAUGGUAAAAUAAUGACUGUUGUUUACCAAUCUGAAGCAGGCUUUCUCACAGAGAAAAGACUUGGUAGGCGGGAACGCUAUGUGUUCGUCUGGAGAUAAAGUGCAGGCAUUGCCCCAGGUCCUGGUGACGUUUGAGGAAGAGGAGGGGGAGGUGUCACUCUGGAGAGGAAGAAACCACCAGCACCAGGAUUUCCUGCUCACAGGCUAAUUGGGUGUCCUGUGGAAACCUCAUUGUGCUGAGCUCCUGAAGAUGGAUGUCAAUGAAGAAUCUCCUCAGCACUUUCUGUGGGGCUAUCCUGUAACCACUGAAUCCCUCUGCUAACUGCUGGCUCUCAGGUUUUCUGUGGAAAGGAUGCUAAAGAGUGGGAAAUUUAACAACAGAGAAGCUGUAGCUCCAGGAUAAUCACCCCCUUUUCCAGGUCUGUCUGUAGACCUCUAGACAGUCUGCAUCACGUCGAACCACCCCUCUCUCUCCUUCUUAAUCAGGGCUAAGAGAGGU